AGAUAUCAGUAUGACAACAUCUGGCCCUGAUUUGCAGUGGCCCCUGACAGGCUUGUAACCAAACAUGCUUGGUGAGUUAUGUUUGUAUAAAAGAAUGGGAGGUAAUCCAUCCAGUAGAGGUCAGGAUUCACAGUGUCUGCCAAGGCGAACUGCCGCUGGCUGCUGAUUGUACCAGGCGAAGGUCAGGAGGGACAACGGUCGAACCUGGCCGAGAUGAAUGAUUCAAGCAUCGAUGAGGUUAGAAAGAGUGUGUUAGAAGCAAGUCUGAUCUUCACGGGAAGCUCACAUGCCGAGCUGUCAGUGGAGAUUUGUGUUGAGUGAAGAGCACAAGAGAUGUGAUUUGGUUUUAAAGGAUUGUGGAGAUCUCAGCAACAUUGCAACCCUUCCCAUGCCCUGACAAAGCUGUGUGUAGUUGCACAUGUUUGUGUGUCUCUGCACACUUGCACUUUAGAGAUAAAUCUGACAGACAUUGAUUGACGUUUCUUUUUUUUUUGGUCAGUGGAAGACCAUCUGAGUUCAAUUUCAAAACUGAAUGAGUAGUCUCACUAUCAACUACACAGCUACUUUCUAAGGGCAGUUAUGUUCUGCUGCAUUAAAUAUAUAUUUUUUUUUUGGUAAGCAGAGUUAUGCAUUGUAGGAUUGCCUUUUCUAUGAAAUAUACUUGCAAUGCUGUGUUUAAAGCGAGAGCUUCUGUCAGCUUUGUGUUCUUUUAGCAUUGUUUAAGUUUCUUCUUUCAUUGAUCGAUUUAAAAGUCCAUAUUAGUUUAUUGGCUGUCGGGGUAUCUGAUGCUUUUUCCUUGGAACUUCUACAUGCAUUAAAAUGAAACAAUCAUACAAUAUGAAUGAAGGCAA